CAAUAUGCACCUGUAUUCCCUGUGAAGUGCUCUCUGACCUUGUUCCUCUCUAUGGGAAUUGAUUAAAUCAUACCUAUGGGUGGCUGUGUUGGAGUUCAUACCAACCUCGUUUAGUCCCACAGUGUUUCGUGUGACCCACGGAGGCUAGGAAGGCGGCCGAGAAGUCCAAGAUAAGGUUCACCCACAUUGAUGGAAAUCACCUGACCCUCCUCAACGUCUAUCACACCUUCAAACAGAACCACGAGUUGUGAACUACCGGUCGCUGACAACGUGCACCAGCAGCUGUCCCGGAUCAUGGACCUCUUCAACCUGACCCGCCGGAUUCUUCAUGCAGGUAGCCCAUUUGGAGCACACGGGCCAGUACCUGAUGGUGAAGGACAACCAGGUGGUCCAGCUGCACCAGUCCUGUGUGCGAUAUACAAUGAGUUUGUGCUGACCACCAAGAACUACAUCCGCACCUGCACCGACAUCAAACCAGAGUGGCUGGUGAAAAUCGCCCCGCAGUACUAAGAGAUGGAUAACUUCCCCAACUGUGAAGCCAAGAGACAGUUGUAGUGCAUCGUCGCUAAACUCUCAACCAAGGAAUACUCUGUACUAACACUGUAGUGUGCACGAGAACAAUACCAUCACCACCAGCACUAAGGAACUCUGAACUCUUCAUCUGAGCCUUGAAUUUUGUUUAUUUUUUACCACCUGUGGUCAUUGUGAUUAACAGGUGGUUGGCAUUGCGGUUGAUCCGGGUUGGGAGUGAGCGGUCAACACCAUUACCGUCAUUGACCAUGUUAAAGCAUAACCAUUUAUGUAGAUGUUGACUUUCCUCUUUAGAACGUGUCAACUCUUACCAAAAUGUACUUAGGUACAGAAUGUCCAUGCUAAUUCAUUGAACAAACUUUGACUUCAAUUAAUGGAAAAAAAAUACAUCUCAGCUUUGACUGUUUAGAACCUACCGUCUUGCUUGUUCAGACAGCUACCAAACUUUGGUAUUGGGUGGGGGGAUGAGCUCAGAAGGUUGAAAUAUUAAAUGUAUUUUAAUAGCAGCAAAGCAGGAAGUAAAAGAAGGAAGUGUACCCAUCAAUAUCGGCUGUGAUCGUAUGAUUCAACUCAAAUGACAUUACAAAAAAUACAUUCCAGGUGUGUUCGUAAAUUUAAUCUGGAGUGCCAGAGAGUGCGCUCUGGGCGUUCUUAAAUUCAGAGUUUUGCAGAUUGCCCGUUGGUAAAUUCAGAACGCACACUGGGCACUCUGGCCGAGGAGUAGGGUUGAUCCGAGUGUUCUGACCUCAGCGCUAGUCAAGCACUCAAGCUAACUGGCUAAUGUUGGCUAGCUACUCCCAGACACAAAUUAGAGAACAGCUGACUGACCAUUUUACCUGCCCUAGCAGAGCUGGUUAGGCUGUUUUUAUGUUAUCCAGAUCCUUGGUGACUAACUGCUGCUGGCAACAAUUUAUUUACACUUUUUUUGUCGAUGUUUACUGACACUGGCCAUAUUUAACCGGUGUUGAGCGUUCGUAAAUUCAUUAAUCAGUUAUUCUACACUCAGGCGAGAGUGCUCUGAAAUCAGAGUAGAUAGCCAAAGCGAAUUUACAACCGCACCGUCCACUGCAUGUUAGCAUAUUUUAAAUGAACCUUCUACAUUACCAUGGAAAUGAUUGCGAGUGUACCCAUGAGUUUACAGUCAAAUUGUCAGGGUUAGAGGUUCCAAGCUAUUCUAUUUCAAUGUAUGCUACUGCUGCAUUGUGGGAGGUGUUGCCUAGGCAACCAAAGACUUGUUUGCUACAACAUCUUGCUUGUUUCCGCAAGGGAGAGGCUACACGGACACGGACACGCCUGGUGACCAAAAUUUAUGACGUAAGUCGCGCAGAGAGACUUUAGGGGAUGAACUGCUUCAGUUAUAGAUCACCAGUUGGCUCCCUUUUCUGAUCAUCACUUGAUUUCCCUGGAUUUACAAGCUACUGAAAAUUUUUUUUUAAGGUACUUGAGGAUAUUGGUUAUGAAACAACAUACUUCUUAAAGAUCCUAUUCUUAUUGGAAACAUCACAUCGUUAGUCAAAGAUAUUGUUGCAAGAAAAGACUUGGGAAUUUUUCAAAUAUAAAGUCUGAGUUGUAGCCAUUAAAUGUGCCAAAGAGCUGAUGCACUUAAAGAAACUUCGAGAAAAAGAGUUGAUGAGCACACUUGACAGUUUUCUAAAGAAAGAUAAUAUAUCUCAAGAAGAAGAGUCUGUAUUUAAAUCUUUACAACUAGAAUUAGAACAGCUUUACACAGAUCUGGCAAAGGAUGCCUUUGUCAGAUCAAGAACAAAAUGGAUUGAAGUGGGAAGAAACACGAGUUACUUUUUUGUACUUGAAAAGAGAAACUACAAAAGAAAGUCUAACUGCACUCAAAAUGAAGGAUGCGUAAUGCAAAGACCCCAUUACAAUCAACAUUUUUCAUUUCCUUUUAUGAAAACCUUUACAACUCUCAAUUUCAGGAAGAUGGUUGUGAAAGCUACAUUUGCCACAUUCAGAAUUAUGUCCCUGUAAUUGAUGACUUCCACUCAGUUUGCCAUUCACCUGUGUCAAUUGAAGAAAGAGGCUCUGAAUUUAGAUGUUUCAAGAUUGCUUUAAAGAAAAUGGGGAAAUGGUCUCCACUAUGAAACAGAGCCUUAUUAUUGCAGUGAUCCCAAAGCCCAAUAAAGACCCUUCUCUGACAAUUGGAGACCAAUUACUUGAUUAAAUACUGACUACAAAUCGACUGCUCUUGUUUAUACCAAAAGAUUAAAGAAUGGAAUAGAUACCAUUAUAAAUUAGACUCAAAUGGGAUUUAUGAAGGGCCAUCA